UGGGGAAUAUUGCACAAUGGGCGCAAGCCUGAUGCAGCCAUGCCGCGUGUAUGAAGAAGGCCUUCGGGUUGUAAAGUACUUUCAGCGGGGAGGAAGGGAGUAAAGUUAAUACCUUUGCUCAUUGACGUUACCCGCAGAAGAAGCACCGGCUAACUCCGUGCCAGCAGCCGCGGUAAUACGGAGGGUGCAAGCGUUAAUCGGAAUUACUGGGCGUAAAGCGCACGCAGGCGGUUUGUUAAGUCAGAUGUGAAAUCCCCGGGCUCAACCUGGGAACUGCAUCUGAUACUGGCAAGCUUGAGUCUCGUAGAGGGGGGUAGAAUUCCAGGUGUAGCGGUGAAAUGCGUAGAGAUCGGGAGGAAUACCGGUGGCGAAGGCGGCCCCCUGGACGAAGACUGACGCUCAGGUGCGAAAGCGUGGGGAGCAAACAGG
rnacentral:rRNA from 1 species